UACAGAGGGGCAAGCGUUGUUCGGAAUUACUGGGCGUAAAGGGCGCGUAGGCGGCCUGGCAAGUGGAAGGUGAAAUACCCUCGGCUUAACCGAGGAACGUGCCCUCCAAACUGCUUGGCUUGAGUCGGGAGAGGUGAGUGGAAGUUCCCAGUGAUAGCGGUGAAAUGACGUAGAUAUUGGGAGGAACACCAGUGGCGAAGGCGGCUCACUGGACCGGAACUGACGCUGAGGCGCGAAAGCGUGGGGAGCAAACGGGG
rnacentral:rRNA from 1 species